rnacentral:rRNA from 1 species
UACGUAGGUGACAAGCGUUGUCCGGAUUUACUGGGCGUAGAGAGCGCGCAGGCGGUCGAUCAAGUCGAGUGUGAAAGCCCCCGGCUCAACUGGGGAGGGUCAUUCGAUACUGAUCGACUCGAAGGCAGGAGAGGGUAGUGGAAUUCCCGGUGUAGUGGUGAAAUGCGCAGAUAUCAGGAAGAACACCCGUGGCGAAGGCGGUUCUCUGGGACGGUACUGACGCUGAGACGCGAAAGCGUGGGGAGCGAACAGG